GGACUCGAUGGAGCGAGCUUACAGUGGCGGCGCUGGAUGAGGAAAAGCUCGGAGGCGACGACCUUGGAGCGGAGCGGAGAUAGAAACUGUGACGGCAGCGGCAAGCGCGUGGGCCGCGUUUGGUACCAUUAGCGGUGGCGGAGGAAGGCCAAAGAGCGGAGACGGUGUGGUCAAGAUGAUUGGGGCUCGCCGGAGCCUUGCCGAAUUCUGGAGACGGGCUCGCCGGCAGCGCCAGUGUUCGCAGAAGCAGAGGUUGAAGGAGAGGAAGCUUACUUGGUCUCCGUUACCUAGAGGUUGAAGGAGAGUGGCGAGUAAGUUAUGGGAGAUCGACCAGGAUCGAAGGAGGAUUCGACCGGGAGUAUCGCAAGGUGAAGCGACGGCGAUUGCGGCAUUGGAUUAGAGGGGGGUUCCGCGGCCGACGGCCUUAGAUCGAGG
rnacentral:lncRNA from 1 species